GAUCUGACAAAGAGCUUUGAAAUGUGCGUGUCAAACUGAAACUCAAAUCCAAAGUGCCUUCAUCUGCUGCAGGAGACUCUGUAGAGUCUGGUGCAGCAGUUGUUGUCGUUGGUGCAGCAGUUGUUGUCGUUGGUGCAGCAGUAGUCGUUGUUGGUGCUGCAGUUGAUGCUGUUUGUCCUGCAGUAGUUUGGGUUUGUAUUGUUAAGGCUGUUUGAAUAAGCUAUGUAAUUAUCAUGAGAAUUUGUU